AGGCGAGGCGCCUGGGGCCCGGGGCACCCCGCUGCUGCGGGCUCAGACGCCUGGUGUGCAGUCAUGGCGUCUGAGAAUCCGCUCACGAUCGUCACCUGCACCGCGCCUGUCAACAUCGCCGUCAUCAAGUACUGGGGAAAGCGUGAUGAGGAGCUGGUCCUGCCCCUUAACUCCUCCCUGAGUGUCACCCUGCACCAGGACCAGCUAAAAACCACAACGACUGCUGCCAUCAGCAAGGACUUCAAGGAGGACCGGAUCUGGCUGAAUGGCACAGAGGUGGAUGUGGGGCAGCCGCGCCUACAGUCUUGCCUUGGGGAGAUCCGCCGCCUGGCCCGGAAGCACAGAAGCACAGAUGAUGGGGACACGCCACCCCUCAGCCUCAGCUACAAAGUGCACAUCGCGUCAGAGAACAACUUCCCCACGGCUGCAGGCCUGGCGUCUUCUGCUGCAGGCUACGCCUGCCUGGCCUACACCCUGGCGCGAGUCUACGGGGUGGAGGGUGAGCUCUCGGAGGUGGCCCGCCGCGGCUCAGGUAGCGCCUGUCGGAGCCUGUACGGCGGCUUCGUGGAGUGGCACAUGGGGGAGCGGGCCGACGGCAAGGAUAGCAUCGCCCAGCAGGUGGCCCCUGAGUCACACUGGCCAGAGCUGCGCAUCCUCAUCCUCGUGGUGAGCACAGAGAAAAAGCUAACUGGCAGCACAGCGGGCAUGCAGACCAGCGUGGAGACCAGCGCUCUGCUCCAGUUUCGGGCCACAUCAGUGGUGCCAGCACGCAUGGCUGAGAUGAUUCAAUGCAUCCGCGAGCGGGACUUCCCUGGCUUUGGGCAGUUGACCAUGAAGGACAGCAACCAGUUCCACGCCACCUGCCUGGACACUUUCCCCCCCAUCUCCUACCUCAAUGACACCUCCAGGCACAUCAUGGACCUGGUGCACCGCUUCAACGCGCACCAUGGGCAGACCAAGGUGGCGUACACGUUUGACGCGGGCCCUAAUGCUGUGGUCUUCACUCUGGAUGACACUGUGGCAGAAUUUGUGGCGGCCGUGAGCCACUGCUUCCCCCCGGAGUCGAAUGGAGACAAGUUCCUGAAGGGGCUGCCAGUGAGGCCAGUCCCACUGUCGGACGAGCUGAAGACCACACUGGCCCUGGACCCGACUCCCGGCGGUGUUAGAUACAUCAUUGCCACGAAGGUAAGUCCAGGCUAGGGAGGCCGGUGUCCGAGGCUCAGGCUCCGUGGGGCUCCCCUCCAACGGGGAGGUGCUUUGGGACUGGCCGGCUGGGAGGAGGAUCACACUGCAUAUGACACCAGUGGCAGCAAGAGCAGCAGUGCAGAAGCAGCAGUAGUUCCGCUUUCCUGCCGACCAGGGCGGCGGUAGUUCUGCUUUUUCGCUUUCAGAGUGCCAGAUAGGAUGUGGUGUGUUUGCUCCCCUGCUCAGACCCACCUCGAGGGGCGACAGAUAAUCUCAGGCGGGGCCUGGACCUCAAAUCCUGGACGACCCUCACCUUCACCUCCUGGGUUCUCAUGGUCUGCCAAAGUUCGCCGCCUGACCACCUUGUCGAUGGGCUGUUGUCUGGAGCUGGGAGCCGCCAGUGUCUGAGCGGGCCUGUGGGCUUCUGGGUGGCCACUUGGCUCUGGAAGCCAGGGAGCCUGUUGGGACAGCAGCUCUGCUCGAGGCAGUGAGUGACCACCCGCAGCUGUGCAGGCUCCUGGCACAAGUCCCUCACUACUGGGUGCCAAGAUGGGAGUUGGGAUUGGGGUGCAGAGACCUGGUGGUGGGGAGUAAGCCCAGCCUGGUAUGACCGCAGCCUCAUGUGGAGAGUUUGCUGACCCUGUGCUGGGGCCCACGUGCAGCUCCGGACGCAGCCAGCCUGUAGCACUGACAUGGCCGGACCUGAGUUUCCCAGCAGUGGAUGACCAGUGUGGUUCAGGGAUCUGCCCAGGGUCUCAGGAAACCUCCAGGGCCCCUUUUGAGGCUGACAGGCUCCCUGCUGAGGCUUGGGGCCCUGAGCUUAGGCCCACAAGGAGGAGCCCUGUGGCCUAGAGGGGUUCCCCUGCUAGGAGAUGUGGGUGGCAGCCCCCCCAUGGAGGGGAAGGUGGCUGCUGAACCACGGGAGUGGCAAGAUAGAUGCCAACACGUAUGUAAGAGCCACAACCGCCAUAUGGCCUGUCGACGAGAAUAAACUCAGUGUCACCAA